GGUAGCCGAGGUCUGGCGUUGGUUUUCGUUAGCCGGGAGCGGAAGUAGUGAGGAGAAGGUCCCGCCCACCCCUCCGCAAAGGCGCUGUGUGUAAAAGGCAACCGAAGUCGGCUGGGCUAGGGUCUGUCUCAAAAUUCCCACACCGGCGGGUCGGAGCUCCUGCAGCAGCGUGUGCAGGUGGUGUGACGCGGGGCAGAGGCACCGGAGGUUGGUGGUACUUUAGCCUAGGGACGGAGAGUUAGAACUAGCAAAGGAGAAGGUAGGGGAGAAUAUUGACUCUUGAACCUUUAUGGGAAUGACUGUCUUAAAUAUCUUAUUUCUCCAGUUGGUGCUGAUUGUGCAACGGUGGACAGAGGUCUUUAACUCUUAGCGCCUGUUUUUUUUUUUUUUUUCAGCUGUAACUUGGGGGAAUAAUACCCGCCCACACACACACACACUGUUAAGGCUAUGGUGAAGUGUAAAUAUGAUUGCUCUUGUAAGGUCCUUAGCUUAGUGGCUGGCACACAGUAGGUACACAACAAUGGUGCCCAUGGAAUUCAUUCUCUUUUCAGUUCCCAAGCCUUUGGUAUAGUUAUUUGAGAUUGAGAAGAUAUCUUUUUCCCCUUCCUCCCCCCCCCCCCCCCACUUUCUCUCUCUUUCUCUCUUUUGAGUCAGGGUCUCGCUUAGUUGCCUAGGCUGACCUCCAACUCCUGAGCUCAGGCUUAAGCGAUUUUUCUGCCUCAGUUUCCCCAGUAGCUGGGACUGCAGGCGUGCAGCACUGUUUGGUUACUCUUGAAGUAACUUAGGUUUCAGUGAUGCAUGUGCUUAGUGAACGUAUACUUGCUUCUCUUAGUGGAAUUGCCAGGAAGUGUUUUUCAUGUCUUCCAACCUGUACAUAUAUUGGGGGGAGGGAGGGCGAGUAUCAGUUUCUAGAUAAGUGGCAGGUGGAAAGGGGGAUCCUUAGCUUAGUAAUGGAGUUUGAAUUAGCGAGAAAUAUCUACUUUUUUCACAGGGCAGAUGUUGAACUCUGACGAAAAGAAAAGAGCACUGACUCCAAUUUUAAAUCAAAUUAAAGCAAACUUAUGUUUGUGUACACUGGAGCUGGCCAGGACUGUCUCUCCUGAAAACCCGAUUUAGAGAUCAGUCCCCCAGCUUUCCAGGAAUAUGAUUUUAUAGCACAAAAGUUGCAAGGGGGGGGGGGUGUCUUGAGAACUUACAGAUAACAGGAUUUUGACAAGCAUAAUACAAAGGCAAUUAAUGAUGUACACCUCAUGAUAGUUCAAGGUAGGAAGUAAAUUCAGAUCCCAACAUCAGAAUUUAUGAGGCGUCACUAAGGUUUUAGAGAGGGUUGUUAUCUGGUCAGGGAAAACCAGGCAUGGGUGAGUUCAAGGCACAGGCAGGAAUUCCAAACAAGUUUAGAAAUCGCAGUAAUUUAUAGUAAAACACAAAUCAACUUUUCAUGGCUUUGUGAUAAUAUGGCUCCCAAUCUUAAAAUGGAAUUAGGCUGGAUUCUUCACAGGGAGGGGGACUAACCUUUUUGAGCAUACACUGGACUGGCUAAAAAGAUAAUUUUCUUCCUCCUCAACACAUAAGUAGGUGGUAUCACUGUGUGUUUACAGGAGAGUUAUGGAAACUAAAUUGUAAUUUAGUGAGGGAGGCAGGUUUUUAGAUAAACACCUCUUUGCCAAAAUAUGUGCUUAUUCAGGUACAAAAGUUGCCUUUGAAUAGGUCUUUGUUAAAGAGAUUACAUUAAAAAAUUAAGGUCUGGCCAAGUGUGGUAUAGUUCCAACUCCUUGGGAGGCUGAGUCAUACAAGGCUCAAGUUCAGCACCAGCCUGGGCAACUUGGUGAGACCCUGUCUCAAAAUAGAAAAUGAAAAGGGCUGAGAUUGUAACUCAGUUGUAAAAUAUUCCUAGGUUUGGUACCAAAAAAGAAAAAAGAAAAAUAAUAAGGUUUAGCUCUAUGUAGAGAAGGUGCCUAGUAUGCUGGAGGCCCAGGGUUCCAUCCCUAGCAUGCACUACCCCUAAAUGCCAGGCACACUGGUGGAGUCUGUAGUCCCACCUUCUCAGGAGGCUCAGGCAGGAUUGUCUGAGCCCAGGAGGUCUGACUGGGCAACAUUAAUGUAUGAAAG
rnacentral:lncRNA from 1 species